rnacentral:rRNA from 1 species
UACGAAGGGUGCAAGCGUUACUCGGAAUUACUGGGCGUAAAGCGUGCGUAGGUGGUUCGUUAAGUCUGAUGUGAAAGCCCUGGGCUCAACCUGGGAAUGGCAUUGGAUACUGGCGACCUAGAGUGCGGUAGAGGGGUGUGGAAUUCCCGGUGUAGCAGUGAAAUGCGUAGAUAUCGGGAGGAACACCGGUGGCGAAGGCGGCCCCCUGGUUGGAUACUGACGCUGAGACGCGAAAGCGUGGGGAGCAAACAGG